rnacentral:rRNA from 1 species
AUCUAAAGCCAGGCCACCCUGAACAUGCCUAAUUUUGGAAGCUAGGCAGGGCUGGACCCAAUUAGUACUUGUAAGGGAGAAACAUCAUUGAUUUGGGUU